rnacentral:rRNA from 1 species
GACGAACGCUGGCGGCGUGCUUAACACAUGCAAGUCGAACGGUAAGGCCCUUCGGGGUACACGAGUGGCGAACGGGUGAGUAACACGUGGGUGAUCUGCCCUGCACUUCGGGAUAAGCCUGGGAAACUGGGUCUAAUACCGGAUAGGACCACUGCCUGCAUGGGUGGUGGUGGAAAGCUUUUGCGGUGUGGGAUGGGCCCGCGGCCUAUCAGCUUGUUGGGGGGGUGAUGGCCUACCAAGGCGACGACGGGUAGCCGGCCUGGGAGGGUGACCGGCCACACUGGGACUGGGAUACGGCCCAGACUCCUACGGGAGGCAGCAGUGGGGAAUAUUGCACAAUGGGCGCAAGCCUGAUGCAGCGACGCCGCGUGAGGGAUGACGGCCUUCGGGUUGUAAACCUCUUUCAGCACCGACGAAGCGCAAGUGACGGUAGGUGCAGAAGAAGGACCGGCCAACUACGUGCCAGCAGCCGCCGUAA